AGUUCAUUUAACACAGCAGGCUUGCAUUUGCUGUUAACUCAAAGGCCUCUCAUCUGAAAAAAACCUGCAGAUCACUUACCCCAUCAUCACUUGCAGGUGGAAAUAGCUCCUGAGAGCACCGCCAUUGCUGGAGGAGGUAGGAAUGCUGUCAUUACUAAACGACACCUGAUUCCCAUGGGUCCCUUUAGCCUGUAGGAAAAUCGUUCUUUUCCCCUAGCUCAGCUGCAGGCAGGCAUCUCCUGGGAGUGGUGGUUCAGGGAACACGUGGAGAAGCUGCAAAGCAAGGAGAUGAGGGAAAUUUCAGGGAGAAACACAGACUGCUUAGUUACACUUUCCUGAUAUUUUCCAUUGCAUUUCACCUCGCAGUGGUCACUGUUGCCUUAUAUUGAAAGGGACAGUAAGGUCCACAGUGAGAGAUAGGAAUGGUGUGCUGUCCCAUGUGCCUUCAGAAGAGGGUGCACAGACCUGUUGUCACAAGACUGCAUUCUGGUAUCCUGCACUUCACCUUCCCAAGAAUCUGAAAAAAGAAAAAACUGAAUUUGAAAAAACACCAAUUAAGCAGAAAAACUGACUUCUGCAGCAGCUGGCGCAACUGUGAGCUUCCUCAGGUGGGCUUCACAUCUGCAGGGGUUGAAUAUGAUCCUGAUCCAUGCCAAAUAUUGCAUAACUAUAGUGUGUGUGUAUAUAUAUAUAUAUAAAUUAGUGUAUGUAUUUAUAUUAAAAACUAGUAAUGACUGUAAUAACAAUGUAGGGAGGGAGAGAAACAUGUCCCAUAUCCCAAUACUUUCUAUCAUGCUGCAAGUCCCCCAUAAAGCUCCAGCAGGCAGGAA